rnacentral:rRNA from 1 species
GGGGAAUAUUGGACAAUGGGCGCAAGCCUGAUCCAGCAAUGCCGCGUGGGUGAAGAAGGCCUUCGGGUUGUAAAGCCCUUUUGUACGGGAAGAAAUCAUCCGGGUUAAUACCCUGGGUGGAUGACGGUACCGUAAGAAUAAGCACCGGCUAACUUCGUGCCAGCAGCCGCGGUAAUACGAAGGGUGCAAGCGUUAAUCGGAAUUACUGGGCGUAAAGCGUGCGUAGGUGGUUGUUUAAGUCUGUCGUGAAAGCCCUGGGCUCAACCUGGGAAUGGCGAUGGAUACUGGGCGACUGGAGUGCGGUAGAGGAUGGCGGAAUUCCCGGUGUAGCGGUGAAAUGCGUAGAGAUCGGGAGGAACAUCCGUGGCGAAGGCGGCCAUCUGGACCAGCACUGACACUGAGGCACGAAAGCGUGGGGAGCAAAC